GAUGAACGCUAGCGGCAGGCCUAACACAUGCAAGUCGAGGGGUAGCAGGAUUAAGCUUGCUUAAUUGCUGACGACCGGCGCACGGGUGCGUAACGCGUAUGCAACCUACCUUAUACUGGGGUAUAGCCCGGAGAAAUUCGGAUUAAUCCCCCAUAGUACUAAUGAAUCGCAUGGUUUAUUAGUUAAAGCAUUGCGGUAUAAGAUGGGCAUGCGUCCUAUUAGCUAGAUGGUGAGGUAACGGCUCACCAUGGCUACGAUAGGUAGGGGGCCUGAGAGGGUGGUCCCCCACACUGGUACUGAGACACGGACAGACUCCUACGGGAGGCAGCAGUGAGGAAUAUUGGUCAAUGGGCGCAAGCCUGAACCAGCCAUGCCGCGUGCAGGAAGAAUGCCCUAUGGGUUGUAAACUGCUUUUAUUUGGGAAUGAACCUCUUUACGUGUAGAGAGCUGAAGGUACCAAAUGAAUAAGCACCGGCUAACUCCGUGCCAGCCGCCGCAGUAA
rnacentral:rRNA from 1 species